UACGAAGGGGGCAAGCGUUGUUCGGAAUUACUGGGCGUAAAGGGCGCGUAGGCGGCUUAUCAAGUCAGGCGUGAAAUUCCCGGGCUCAACCUGGGGGCUGCGCUUGAUACUGAUGGGCUUGAAUGCGGGAGAGGAUAGUGGAAUUCCCAGUGUAGAGGUGAAAUUCGUAGAUAUUGGGAAGAACACCGGUGGCGAAGGCGGCCAUCUGGACCGGAACUGACGCUGAGGCGCGAAAGCCAGGGGAGCGAAUGGG
rnacentral:rRNA from 1 species